rnacentral:lncRNA from 1 species
GCCACAUUGACGGAUCGUCCAGCAUUUUGCAUAUAAUUGUGUCAUUCACGUGAUAAGCACCUUCAGCACACCGCCUUCGAAAAUUCAGGACGUAAACAACCUUGCCAACCUUGUAUAACACCUUUUCAUGCCCCAUUUGGCCCAGCCUAAUCAUCCAGUGAUAGCCAAAGAACGUUUUCCCUAUCCCUCCAGUACCUACGACGAUGAAAGAAGUGAAGUUGUCAAGCCGGUCCUGGAUUUGGGACUCUAGACUCGCAUAUGCCUCUCGUUUCCAUAGCAGGAAAGGUUGGCCAUAAUCUCCCAGUGCAUCGCUAUCUAGAAUCCAGAAUUUAGAAUCUGGAGUAUCAGUAGCCCUUACAAGGGCCGCCACACCAGCUGGUACACCUGAAGCAAGAUAUAAAUGCACGGAUCAGAAAAGAACUGCUACAUGCAGGCAAAUACCGCUCUGUGAGGAGAACUGAGCAAACUCUAGUGUGAGGCAGGAAAACUUCAAACGACUGCAAAACAGUCAUCCCAGACAGAAGAGCUCUAAGCCGAAGAAGACACAGACAGUAUUAAUAGAACGCAAGGGGAGCAGAUGGCCAUGAAUUCAAUUACAACCACAAGCCAGACACAAGCACCCAAGACCAAAUCCAACAGCGACACCAUCAGAAGCAAGACCUUGCGCCCGAUUUCAUGGCACACCAGGAAUACCAAGAACUGGACAAAAAAUGGGACUUUCCACAUCACAGAUCAAAGAGAAAAACAAGGAGGAUAUGCUAGGAAACCCAAAAUAAAAGCGAAAUUGAGCUACCUCUAGCCGAAAGAUAUCCACGACACACAGCAAAACGCCCCAAAUUGACACAAAGAAUGACUUACCAUUACUUCUGAGGAGGAGGAGGUUUCCUCCCGCAGCUGUUCUUCCUUCUUCUGCAGCUGUUCUUCCUUCUUCCGCAGCUGCCCUUCCUCCUUCCGCAGCUGCUCUUCCUCCUUCCGCCAAUAUUUCGCCAGAGAUUGAUUGCCACUCUGAAGGGCAGAGAGAAAAGAUUCCCCAGCCGCUUGGAUCUGCGGCUCAAGAAGCCCGAUUUGAGCUUCCACCUCGUCCAUUUUGCUAGCUGAAACCCUAUCUUGAAACCUUCUUAUAGGGAGGCAGUGGCGCCCUAGAAUCGUCAGGGACUGCACCAUCUUCAUCGGUGUUUUAGACCACUAACUCAAUUAUAAACACAAGAGACAACUCAGCCACACUUUUGUUUGUUUAAGCGGCUUCUACAAACUUAUCUAUUGCUUGCUCCUUGGUGGAGUAUGCUAGGGCAGAAUGGAGGUGGAGCAGUGGUGGUGGCGGCAUUUGAUCGGGCUACCUUGGAGAGCUUGGUGCGCAGGAUCUUGGCCAUGGUAAGCAGCAGCAACACAAUGUGGGCAUUCACCUUGGAUUCGCUCACGUCUGGGGCGUCGACGAGUGUGCUGGGGAGAGCUGGGACGGUGCCGUUCACGUUGGCGAGAAACGAGCGUAGCAUCAAGGCAUUCCGGGGUUGUGUGGACAAGCUAUUACUGGGAUAUGCUCAGGAAGAUCACGCUGCUGCUGCUCCUCGCCAUGGCUGGGCAUUCCACAUCAGCCGAAGUAUGACUGAUGUUGCAUGGGAGAAUUUUGAGGACAGAGAGACGUAUUAGAAAUGGCUUUUCAAGGAACCUGACGAACGAUUUGAGGUUUUUCUCGAGUACGUGGAGAAAGAGGAAGAAAAGGUGCGUGUUUUUUUUGUUCCCUUUGCAGAGCGGUAACCGUGACAUAUAUAUAGUAUUUCAAAUUGGUGUUAACACAAUCUUAAAGCUUCAGAAAUAGUUUCUCGUAAAGAACCGACGAACGAAACAAGAAAUUUACGGCACGAUCAUACCUUGCAAGUUGCCAAGACUUGUAGCAGCAAAGACUGCACUAAAAACGUCUGCUGAAUCCAGGGAAGCAUGUACAAAGCAAAAAGUCAUUCAUUCACUCUUAGUUUACUUCUCAUUAACUAGACUUCAAUCACUUUAAUUAUGUGCUUUAAAGCUUAUCAAAAUAAUGCUAUACUUUGUUUGCCAUUUUACUAAUCUAAUACAAAAGUUGCAUUAGGCUGAUGGCAAAGCCUUCCACCAAACUCAUUUUUUCUAAGGCUGAGAAUUAUAAAUUUACAAAUUCCUAAAUCAAUUGCUUUUCCAAUUUACUAAGUGGAUAUGUGUGAAGCUUCUUUUAUCAAGAAAAUAUUGUUAAGGCACAUAAUUCCGGAACACUGUUAUAUGUAAGGCAAAUAGAGCCCACCACAAGGAAGAAGGCAGGUGCUGUGCUAUUCUCAUGAUUGCGCUGGACAGGAUGAUGACUGUGGUAUUUAAAUUAUCCUCAUCAGCAGUUAUACUUUACUCAAUUUAAGUUGUUACACUUGGAUUCCUUUGAAUAUUUUAUCAACUGCUAAAUCAUAUAAAUCUUUGCUCAAAUAUCUCAAAUGUUAUCAAUUUAUCUAUUAUUAAUAUCAAACAUCAGUUUUAAAAAAAACUUAAAUGAUUAGUAUAUAUUAUUAAAAUAACAAACAUCUAUCAUAAGAAGGAGGGAGUGCCGAACUUUCUGGGCUGCCGGAUCCAGCCAAUGGCAGCCGUCCAAUGGGGGGUAAUUGUAAAAGAAUUAUUACUUUAACCAUGUCUUAGCGAAUAAUCAUGCUAAUGUUUGCUCCUAGUCAAUAGGAGGUGACCAAAUUGCAUAGGGCGAGAGAAGAAGAUGCUAUAACAUAUGCAAAUGUGUUAAUCAUGACUACACCUGUCAUCUGUCCUGUUGAGUGAAAAAUUAUCUUUUUUCUAAGUUUACCUCUCCAUGGCCAAUGCAAUAGAUUGCUCCAUGUGAGAAAAUGAAAGGAAUAUCAAAGCCAAUCUCCACAAACCAUUCUUGUAGAUUUGCUUCACUAGUUUGUGGCCCAGAGAGCAAUGGUGGCAUUACCACUGCCACCUCCAAGGCUAGCACCACUUGGAACUCUUUUGUCCAAGUGAACCUUAAGAAGAAAAACUAAAUACUUUGAUAAGGAAAGUUUAUUGAGAGCUUACCCAAAAGUAUGUGUUGCUCCCAAUCUUCUUUCUAUACAGAUCUAGAGCUUUGAUCACCUUGCAAAAGAAUCACACAAACAUUUUGUAAAUCCUCGGAAACAAAUGAAUGGAUAGGUUUGAGUCGUCGAGUGGGAUUCCAAACACAUUUGCUGUAAGUGAGUCUUUCUUUUUAGAAGGAGAGACUGAAAACUUUAAAGUAUCUCCCAGGCUAAUCACCUGAGUGAAAAGUUUCUUGAGAAACUAGAACAAGAAAAAAAAAACCCAGAAGCUUACAUGAAAGACAGAUGCUAAAUCAUGGUAGCCAUCAGGCCUCUUGCUCGUGAUUCCCAAGAAAGCAUUGAUCUGGUUAUUAAGUUCUUUAGCUCUAUCCAACAAGAAAACUUUGGGAAAACUAUACAUACCUUGGAUGGCGAAAACAAUGUAAGAUUUCGAGCAAAACCACCCAAGCUUUGGAGCUCCUUGGUGAGCUCUUCAUACCUCCCGACAAAAACUCCAAAAACUGUACAACUCAGAGAACUCUAUCUCUAUCUCAAGACCUUUACCUCAAGUUUUUUGGAGCCCGACGACUCCAUAGCUCUCAAGCAGCUCCUUCUCCUGCAUUUAGGCCCUCAAAACAAAGCAAAACUGCCUAUCAAAUUGCUCGCUGGAUCAGCAAAAUGGAGUGAUGGACUUGCCAUAAAUUCUCUCUCCAAUUUUCAGCUCGAUUUUUAUCUAGGAGCUGCAAUGGGCAUGAUGAGGAAGAAACAAGACAAAGGAGAAGAAAAAAGAUACACUCAUAUGGACCUAUCGAGUGUGUUUUUGAGAUGGAAGUUGCACAUAAAAAAAACAUGGUUAGUUAUAUAUCAACUUCUCUUUUCUUUUCUUUGGUUAUGCUGAUAAAUUAAAUAUUUUCUAUGCAGCUGAGCUAUGAUGAUAAGACCAUACCUAUUCCUUUCAAUAAGAUGCAUUCUUAAGUGGGCAAAUGAGUCCUGCUGUCUAUGGUUCUUUGCAAAACUUUCAAAAGAUUUUAAGUUCUACAACAUCUAUGGCAGUUCAUGCAAAACUCCAUUCCACAUCUGGUAUGUGUUCUUUGUUCUUGAUAGCCAACUUUCAUUAGCAACUUUUUUUCCAUUGUUUCCAGCUACGGGAGUGAAAAAAUGCCUCAUAGUUGAGCUCAAGGUAAUGCAGGGGUUCUUUCUUCAUGCUUACUGAAAGAAACCUUGGACUUCGCAAGCUGAUUUCAAGUAUGUGGAUGGAGAUGGCAUGGUACCAUCCAAGUCUUCCAAGGUAGCCCUCUAUUUCUAUCACCCGGUUCUGAACUCUGCUUUCUUCAUCAAAGACAUCCUGGAGAUCAAAGAUGAAGAGAAGUAGUUUGUGGUUCACACUGCACUGCACAAGUCUGAGGAAGUGAUUGAGAAACAAGCAUGCUUUUGUCUCAGCAACACAGCCAUCUCCCACAAGAACAGCACAUGAGAUGCAAACUCCAAGGACAGCCAAGACUACAACAGUGGUAGCAAGAGCAAGGACAACACUAAAAACUCAGUAGUGUUCACCAUCAACACUGAGGAUGCUAGAGCUCAAGCUCACAGUAGAGUCACACCUCAGCAUUUCUGCCACCGGUGUUGCAGAAGGAAGUGAUUGAGAAAAGGCCACCAUCGCAGUGGAGAAAGCUACAGCGCCAAGCUCAUAACACUGUACAAUAUGUAAAAAUAUGGAUUUAAAUUCUGUCAAAGUGAUGUUCAUGUCUUCUUUCCGAAGGUUUAGGCAGCUUCUAGGUUGAGAUAAUUUGCUCCAAUUGGAAAUAGGUAUCAUGCUUCCAUCUUGUGGAAGUAAAAAAAAUCUCACCAAAAGUUUUUCCUUUGUUAUUCAACAAGAAAAGAAAAACAAAACAUCACAUAACACAAUGAUUAGUAUGGUGCAUUGCAUCAGUUUUAGCACUAUGGGCAUCUUCUUCUCAAACUCUUCAACUCAGUGUUUUUUCUUCCUGUUUUCGUUUUUUUCCUGAUUUGAUUUUCGAGAUACUUUGUGGUGUCUUUUCACUUUCUUAUGCUUUGAACUUAACAAUUUUAUUUUCUUUUCUGGUUUUUCCUUCUGCAAGAUAAAUACUGGCAAGGAAACCAUGAUGCUCAAAUCUCAAAGCUAUAAUACUUGUGACAUAAAACUCUUUGGCCAAUGUAUUUGUCUUUUGGCUCAGAUUUAAAGUUUUUUGAAAACUUCACCUUGCCAACCCACCAGCUUUUUGCUGGGCAAUUCCUAGUAUUGUAUUAAAAACUUUGAUUUACUGAGAAAUUUAUAUUGUAAGUAUAUAUAUAGAAGCUUCAUCGUGCAUCCUCGUAGUCCACUUGAACAACAAACUGGCGCAUCUUCCCAAAUACUGCAUUUCUUUUCCCAUAGACUCCAUCUUUAUUAUUCUUGUAUUGCUGCCAUCCAGUUCUUUGAAACGUCUCUCUUGGAACACAUGACCACAACCUGUAGCUUGAUCUCUUCAACGCAGCAUCCACCAUUUCUAAGCCACUCGCUUUAAAGCCGUGUUUUCCAUCCAGAUCCAGUCUCUUGAAGACCUGAAUGAGAAUGUCUUUAUCCAUAGCAGAAUCAAUGCUCGGAAAGACUUCAGAAGUUGGUUUCACAUACUUGCCCAUCCCCAUCUUUCCUCGAAACUCACCAGCAGAACUUGCCUCUAGCAUGAUAUGAGGUCCAAUAUGAUGGGAAGUCUCAGGACCGGAGCUUCCAUCAGCGUAAACUGGCUUGAUAACAAAAUCACCACCCUUCAACAGCAGCCUAUGCACAAGAGGUUCAUAAAGCCUCCCCCACAAAGCCCCCACCCAAGAGCAGCUGAAUGUUUCUUUCAGAAAUUCCACCACACGUACAGCUCCAGCAAGCAGAUACUGAUUCCCAAGCUCUGUCAUCAAAGCCUCGCUUGCAAAUUGAUAUGUCUUUUCGCUGUGGUCCUCAGUUGCCACAAUGUGCAGAAUCCAGUCGCUGACGUUUUUCACGUACCGUCCUGACAAAACCCUGCCCGCUUUGGAUAAACUUGAUCCGAACAACACAACCGCAGUCUUGGCCAUGGCCUUCCCCUCAUCCAGCUUUCUUGCACGCAGUACAUACCUAGGAACUCCACCCAAAUAAUCGAAGUUGUCAAGCCCUUCCUUUCUGUCCACCACAUUCAUGUUCCCGUAACUAGUUCGGUAAGGCUCAAAGUCGUCAAGGAAUUUCCCAAUCUCCUCCCUGGACCACACCGACAUAUAAAGCAUGCAACAAAGCCCCCCCUUGCCAAACUCAUUGUAGUUUUUCUCCCUAGAUGAGGGAACCAAAAGAACUCGACAUCUGCGAGGGAAAGGCGUCUUCUGCUUCUCAUUUAUCACUAGCCACAUCGACGGAUCGUCCAGCAUUUCGCAUAUAAUUUGGUCACUCACGUCAUAACGACCUUCAGCACACCGCCUUCGCAAAUUCAGGAUGUAGACAAACUUCCCAUCCUUGUAUAGCACCUUUUCAUGCCCCAUUUGGCCCAGCCUAAUAAUCCAGUGGUAGCCAAAGAACGUUUUCCCUAUCCCUGCAGUGCCUAGGACGAUGAAAGAAGUGAAGUUGUUGAGCCGCUCCACGAUUUUUGAUUCUAGACUCGCAUACGCCUUUCGUUUCCAUAGCAGGAAAGGUUGGCCAUAAUCAUCGCUAUCUAGAAUCCAGAAUUUAGAAUCUGGAGU